UUUUUUUUUUUUUAAAGUAGGCUCUGUGCUCAACCUCAACAUGGGCUUGAACUCGUAAUCUCUAGAUCAAGAGCCCCGUGUACUACCAACUGAGUCAUCCGGGCACCCCUCCUUUACCCAUUUUAAAAUUGUGUUAUUUGGGGCCCUGGGUGGCUCAGUCAGUGGAGUGUGUGACUCCAUCUCAGGGUUGUGGGUUCAAGCCCUAUGUUAGGUGUGGAGAUUACUUAAAAAUAAAAUCUUAAAUAAAUUGUUAUUUAUGUUUAUUUUUAUUUUUUUUAGUUUUUUAAGGUUAAUUUAUUUUUGACCGAGUGAGACACAGAGCAUGAGCUGGGGAGGGGCAGAGAGAGAGGGAGACACAGAAUCUGAAACAGGCUCCAGGCUCUGAGCUGUCAGCCCAGAGCCUGACGUGGGGCUCGAACUCACAGACCGCGAGAUCAUGACCUGAGCCGAAGUCAGAUGCUCGACCGACUGAGCCGCCCAGGUGCCCCUAUUUAUGUUUUUGUUCUUGAGAUUUAAGGUUUUUUAUUUAACCUGGAUACAAAUCCCUUAUCAUGUAUAUGAUCUGCAAAUAAUUUCUCCCAUUCUGUGGAUUGUCUUUUCACUUUCUUAGUGUUUUUUCUUUUAUUUUUUUAAAUUGCGGUACACUACACGUAAACUUACCACCUUAACCAUUUUUAAGCGUACAUAGUUCCUUGGCAUUCAGUAUUGUCACACUGUUGUGUAGCCAUCACCACCGUCCGUCUCCAGUAUUCUUGUCAUCUUGCAAAACUGAACAUUGAAUGUAACCCCCAACCUUCCUACCUCCUAGCCCCUGUCAACUACCAUUCUACUUUGUGUCUUUGAAUUUGACUGCUCUGUGCACCUCACUAAGGGAAUUAUACGGUUGUCCUUUUGUGACUGGCUUAUUUCACUUAACAUAAUGUCUUCAAGCACAUACUGUAGCAUGUAAUAGAAUGUGCUUUUUUAAAUGCUGAAUAAUAAUCCCUUGCGUGUAUAUACCCCAUUUCCAUUCAUCUGCCAAGGGACACUUGGGUUGCGCCCAGUUUUUGCUACUGUGAAUAAUGCUGCCAUGAACGGGGAUUGUAGAGGGGAUAGUGGUGUUCUUUGAAUUACGAGUUUUAAGAAGUUUUUGAUGGGAUCCAAUUUAUGUUUUUUUUUCUUUUGUUGCUUAUACGCUUGGUGUUGUGUCUAAGAAACUAUUGCCUAUUCCAAGGUCGCAAGGAUCCCUACUUGUGUUUUCUUCUACGAGUUGAAUGGCAUUAGUUCUUACAUUGAGGUGUUUGACCUUUUGAGUGAAGCCAUAUUCAUGUUUUGUGGACUGGUGGCUCUCAGCGUGUCCUCCGGUGGUUCGGUCUGCUUCGGUUACGCUGCGAGGUUGGCGCUUAAAAGCCUGUGGCAGGGAGCCCUUCACCCCGGUGCUGCCUCCCCCGCCUCCUCCUCCUCCGUGGACUCCCAGCCGCCCUCUCUUGGCCCCAGAGGACAAAGACUCGGGCAGUUAAUUAAUUUGCAUCCUCUUCAUUUUUCCUUAUUCAUCAUAAUGGCUUCAUUCUUUCUCACUGAUCUAUCUCCACAGCGUAAUUUAUGUCAGGCAGAGAAGUCCCCCUCAGCAAGCCUCUUUGGGAAUCGGAAGUCACACCUGUGUGGCGGCAUUGUCCCUUUUGUUCUCUUCUGAACCACACUCUAGCUGAAUGCUGUGUGCCGGGAGGGGAGCUUAGUGUGGUAUCUCCAGGCAGUUUCCCUCCCAUUUAAGAAAUUUGAAAGAUUUAAACACAUAAAAUGACAGAGUGGUGUUGCCAAAGCGUGUAGCCUUCACAGUACCUCAAGGAAAAAUAAGAUUGUUUUAGGCCCUUUUCUUGUUUACCAGACCAAUCAUUAGAUGACAAGCCUUUUCCUGGUUUUUCUAGUAUUGUCAAGUAAGUUUUGCUCUUUAGUAGGAACGAAAACAAAACAGCCCAGACUGUUUUGAAGGAUUCCCCUUGCCUUGGGUGUGUAUAAACUACAUGCAGAUUUUCGGUAUAAUCAGAGAAUCUCAGGGUUUCAGUUCCCCUUGCUGUUAAAUUAAUAGUGCUUGAAUUCCUAGAACAAAAUGCCUAGCAUUUUGGGAGGUCUGGGGUUCCUGGUUCACCUAAUUAUGUUUCAAAACCCCCUUCUCUUAAUUUUUGGAGGUAGAAAGGUAGGAGGUAUUACCAGUUUUUAAAACAAAUUUUUUUUAAUGUUUAUUUUCUAGAGAGAGCACAAGCCGGGGAGGGGCAGAGGGCAAAGGGACAGAGGAUCCAAAGUGGGCUCCAUACUGACAGCAGUGAGUCCGAUAUGGGGCUCGAACUCAUGAACUGUGAGAUCAUGACCUGAGCCGUAGUCCGAUGUUCAACCCACUGAGCCACCCAGGAACCCUACUGUUAUCAGGUUUAAAAAAAAAACAAAAA